AUUGAACGCUGGCGGCAUGCUUUACACAUGCAAGUCGAACGGUAACAGGCCUUCGGGUGCUGACGAGUGGCGAACGGGCGAGUAAUGCAUCGGAACGUGCCCAGAGGUGGGGGAUAACGCAGCGAAAGCUGUGCUAAUACCGCAUGUGAUCUGAGGAUGAAAGCGGGGGACCAGGCAGCAAUGUUUGGCCUCGCGCCUUUGGAGCGGCCGAUGUCAGAUUAGGUAGUUGGUGGGGUAAAGGCCUACCAAGCCGACGAUCUGUAGCUGGUCUGAGAGGACGACCAGCCACACUGGGACUGAGACACGGCCCAGACUCCUACGGGAGGCAGCAGUGGGGAAUUUUGGACAAUGGGCGCAAGCCUGAUCCAGCAAUGCCGCGUGCGUGAAGAAGGCCUUCGGGUUGUAAACCGCUUUUGUACGGAACGAAAAGGCUCUGGCUAAUACCUGGGGCUGAUGACGGUACCGUAAGAAUAAGCACCGGCUAACUACGUG
rnacentral:rRNA from 1 species